rnacentral:rRNA from 1 species
GUGCCAGCCGCUGCGGUAAUACGUAGGUGGCAAGCGUUGUCCGGAUUUAUUGGGCGUAAAGCGAGCGCAGGCGGUUUCUUAAGUCUGAUGUGAAAGCCCCCGGCUCAACCGGGGAGGGUCAUUGGAAACUGGGAAACUUGAGUGCAGAAGAGGAAAGUGGAAUUCCAUGUGUAGCGGUGAAAUGCGUAGAUAUAUGGGAGGAACACCAGUGGCGAAGGCGGCUCUCUGGUCUGUAACUGACGCUGAGGCUCGAAAGCGUGGGGAGCAAACAGGAUUAGAUACCCUGGUAGUCCACGCCGUAAACGAUGAGUGCUAAGUGUUGGAGGUUUCCGCCCUUCAGUGCUGCAGCUAACGCAUUAAGCACUCCGCCUGGGGAGUACGACCGCAAGGUUGAAACUCAAAGGAAUUGACGGGGGCCCGCACAAGCGGUGGAGCAUGUGGUUUAAUCGAAGCAACGCGAAGACCUACAGGUCUUGACAUCCUUGACCUACUCUAGAGAUAGAGCUUCCCCUU